rnacentral:rRNA from 1 species
AAAAAUUAAAUUACUUUUUUUUUAGUAUUAAUUUAUUUUAAUAAAAAUAAUUUUAUAAAUAUUUGUUUUUGUAUUUUUUAAUAAUAUAAUAAUUUUAGUGAUAGUUGAGUAGUAUUGUAAAAGAAUUUUGAAAUAUAAUAUUAUUUGUGUUAAAGUAAAUUUUAUUUAUUGUACCUUUUGUAUCAGGGCUUAUUAAAAUAUAAUUAUUUAUAAAUAAUUUUCUCGAAUUUAAGAGAGUUAAUAAUUUAUGAGAGUUACUGUUUUAAUAGUAUUUUAAAUAAAUUAUUAGUAAUGAAAUGUUAGUCGUUCUUAAUAUAUCUAGUUUUUAAAGAAAUAAAUUUAAUUUAGUUAUUAUUAUUUUAUUAAAUUUUUUAUUUAAUUUAUUAAAUAAUAAUAAUAAUAUUUUAAGGGAUUAGCUUUAAAAUAUAAUUUAUAAAUUUUUUAUAUAUAAUAAAGAUUUGUAGAAUUAGAAAUUUUUAUCAAUAAUUAAAGUGUUAUAAUUAAUUUUAUUAUAAAUAUAAUUUAUUAGAUUUUUAAAUUUUUUAUUUAAAUUAUUAUAUUAAUUAUUAAUAUAAUGUAAUAAUGAUAAAAUUAGUAUUAUAUUUUUGUUAUAAAAGUAAAAUUUUAUAUAAAGAUUAAAAUAAGGAAUUCAGCAAAAUUUAUACUUACCUGUUUAACAAAAACAUGUCUUUUAGAUAAUAAUUUAAAGUCUAAUCUGCCCACUGAAUAUAUUUUGAAGGGCCGCGGUAUAUUGACUGUGCAAAGGUAGCAUAAUCAUUUGUCUUUUAAUUGAAGGCUUGAAUGAAUGAUUGAAUAAGGUAUAAUCUGUCUCAUUUUAAUAAAUUUAAAAAUUUAAUUUUUUAGUUAAAAAGCUAAAAUAAUUUUAAAAGACGAGAAGACCCUAUAGAUUUUUAUAAUAUGUUAUGUAUAGUAAUGAAGAAAAUAAAUUUGUUAUAUAUUAUUUAUUAUUUUGUUGGGGUGACAGGAAAAUUUAUUAAACUAUUUUUAUUUAUAUACAAUAAUAUUUGUUUUUUUUGAUCCAAUUUUAUUGAUUAAAAGAUUAAAUUACCUUAGGGAUAACAGCGUAAUUUUUUUAGAGAGUUCUUAUCGAUAAAAAAGAUUGCGACCUCGAUGUUGAAUUAAAAAUUAAUUUUAAAUGCAGAAGUUUAAAAAUUAGGUCUGUUCGACCUUUGAAUUUUUACAUGAUUUGAGUUCAGACCGGCGUGAGCCAGGUCGGUUUCUAUCUUUAAAUAAUUUAAAUGUUUUAGUACGAAAGGACCAAAUAUUUUAAUUACUAAAUUAUUUAUUAAUUUGAAUAAUAAUAAAUUUAUUUAU